GGCCCGCGGCGGGAGGACGGGGCCGAGAGCCGGGUCUUUGCGGGCGAGGUGAGGGCUUUCGGUUCAACUGGCCUUCAAAGUCCCAGUCCUCGCCCCCCAACACCGGCGCCUCCGCCC
rnacentral:pre_miRNA from 13 species